GACAGUUUGGCCGAGUGGUCUAAGGCGCUGGCUUCAAGCGUCAGUCCGCAAGGGCGUGGGUUCGUAUCCUACAGCUGUUA
rfam:Perkinsus marinus ATCC 50983 gcontig_1104296651232, whole genome shotgun sequence.